AUAGUUUAGUAGAAGGAACACGUGAUGGGAAUCUAGAAGACCCAGGUCUGAUCUUGGCUUUGUUCAGACAUUAACCAGCUGUGUGACUUUGGUUCCUGCUAGAUAAAGGGACAGCUUUCCACAGAUGAACAGCAGCCUACAAAUGUCUCCCCUGUUGAGAGCCACCUUGGGAGCUGGCACUUUUCAUUCUGACCUGCCCAGCAUCAGACAUCACCAGAUCGAUGACAUACACUCCACAAGGGAUUGAGGUUCUGGCAGCCAGUUUGAUCAUAAAAUUAAAAGCUCUUUCUGGAGUGCAGGAACCUGAGAGGAGGAUGCUCUUCCUCCCCCUCCCAACACUGUCCGGCUGCCCUCUCAUACCUCCUUCCACUGCAACAAGCACAGAGACUGAUGUUAAUAGGUCAGUGGGUAACAGAGUAACAGAGUGGUGGAUCAGAUUAUAUUUAGGGAUCCAGAACAGCCCUCCCCCUCCAUUAGCAAUGAAUUAUAAUGAGGACCAUAAUUUGGAGACAUCAGUUCAAAUUUCUGGAAAAAGACCAACAAGAAUUGACUGAAACAGAUAGAUAUGGAGGAGUUGCAGUCUCCUUUGUUUGAAG
rnacentral:lncRNA from 1 species